UGCUUUCCCUUACAAGCUUCUGUCAUGGGAAAGACAGUAACAUGCUCAACGAGAAUUAUGCUCCACAAGGACCUCGGCAUGCCUAACACCUGCCAAGCAUCAGACACUGUCUGGUGAAGCAAACAAGUGUGCCCAUUUAACGGAUCCACAAUGGAAGCAGACUAGUGAAGCAACCGGCAUUAAGUCUAUAGCUCUGUGUACUAAGCACAGGAAGUGAGUAGACAGGUUCAUGAAAUACUGCACUAAGAUGAAGGAGAGCAUUCACAUCAGUCUUCUUUCAAGAUCCGAGACAUGAUUUGAAGAACCAAGAUGAAGUUUCAGCUGCUUUCACACCCAGUGAAGAGAGGAUGAAAUGUGAAGGGAGCACAUCAGAAUUCAGGUUUGACAGCUGUAAUAUGAUUUGUCAUACUAAUGGAUUACAAAGCUGUUCAUUUCCAAGGA